GACGAACGCUGGCGGCGUGCUUAACACAUGCAAGUCGAACGGUGACGAGGAGCUUGCUCCUCCGAUCAGUGGCGAACGGGUGAGUAACACGUGAGUAACCUGCCCCAGACUCUGGAAUAACAGUUGGAAACAGCUGCUAAUACCGGAUACGAGACGGAGAGGCAUCUCUACCGUCUGGAAAGUUUUCGGUCUGGGAUGGACUCGCGGCCUAUCAGCUUGUUGGUGAGGUAAUGGCUCACCAAGGCGACGACGGGUAGCCGGCCUGAGAGGCGACCGGCCACACUGGGACUGAGACACGGCCCAGACUCCUACGGGAGGCAGCAGUGGGGAAUAUUGCACAAUGGGCGAAAGCCUGAUGCAGCAACUCCG
rnacentral:rRNA from 1 species